AUUGAACGCUAGCGGGAUGCCUUACACAUGCGAGUCGAACGGAGUGGCGAACGGGUGAGUAAUGUAUCGGAACGUGCCCAGUGGCGGGGGAUAACUACGCGAAAGCGUAGCUAAUACCGCAUACUAUUGGAGCGGCCGAUAUCGGAUUAGCUCGUUGGUGGGGUAACGGCUAACCAAGGCGACGAUCCGUAGCUGGUUUGAGAGGACGACCAGCCACACGGGGACUCGUACACGGCCCAGACUCCUACGAGAGGCAGCAGUGGGGAAUUUUGGACAAUGGGGGAAACCCUGAUCCAGCCAUCCCGCGUGUGCGAUGAAGGCCUGCGGGUUGUAAAGCACUUUUGGCAGGAAAGCGGGACCUGCAGAGUAAGCACCGGCUAACGACGUGCCAGCAGCCGCGGUAAUUC
rnacentral:rRNA from 1 species